rnacentral:tRNA from 2 species
GGUCUUGUAGUUUAAUAAAAAAUGUUAAAUUGCAAAUUUAAAGUUGACUAAGUCUAAGACUU